AUAUCCAAGCAACAUGUACAAAUGAUACCUUAUGUCGAACUUUAUCAGACACACAAGUGAGUCUUUUAAACUGAAAAAUAUAAAACUUAUUUUUACUACAUAGAGUUAAACGUAUACGUUUAGGAGAUACGCUCUAACGAUCGGAUCGUUUGGAAACAACAAAAACUGUAAUAAGAAACUCAAUCAGUUGGAGUAAAUACGUCGCGCGAGUACGAAGAACGUAGCGCAUGGUUGUAAAUGUAAUUCAAAACUCAAUAGAAAUAUGUUUAAUAAAGUGUGAAAAGAAAAUAAAAAUUAAAGUUAAUAAAUUAAACAAAAAAUUUGUUAUAGAGACUAAAAAAGUAAACAAAAAGAAAAUUAAAGAAAUUAAGAAAUAAAUGAAGAAAAAAAGUGUAACAACUUACAGCUAAAAAGUUUAAAAAACGCAUUGGAAUGUGUUAAAGCAACGUAAGCAUUGCAGGAGAAAAAAAAAGCGUUAAAAAAGUGAUCAAUUUGUGAAAAUCAAAGUGCAGUUUUUUUUUCGUAUACUCUGGUAAACAGAGAAAACCCCCCCACCACCACUACCACCUCAAAAUAUAUGGAUACAUACAUAUCACAAUAUACUACAUAUGUUUCAAUAUACAUAUCUAAGUGGUGUGUAUAAAGUUACAACAACAAAAACACCAACUACAACAAUAAACAACAACAAAAACUAAAGCAAAACAAAAACAUAAAAUUAGAGGGGACCCCAUAAUUUUUCUUUACGAAAUUGUACUCACACAUUGCAAGCAAUAGAUUUUUCAUACGUUUUCUAAACGUUUGCGUUCUAUCUAUUAAACUAUUAUUAAAGUGAGCCAAGUUCAAUAAAAUUGCUAGUGUAACAGUGUGAGUGUGUGUCGGUGUGUCUGUGUCAUUGUUAUCAAAUCAAAUGGUGCAAAAAAAGCAGAAGAGUUUCACAUUAAUAAAGAUCAGUCAUGAAAAGAGACAUACAUAUAUACAUGCAUAAAUGCUUAAUAAAGAAAAUUUAAUUUAAAUAACAACAUUAAUCUUAUGCUAAAUUAACUUUUUUUAUAAAAUGAAAACUAAAUAAAAGAAAAGUUUAGAAAAAAAGCCAAGAAAAGAAACGGGGUCUAAACAAAUGAUUAAGUAUUGUUUGUAUUGAAAGUGUAUUAAACAAAUAAAUAAAUUAAUGAAUAAAUAAUGACACCCUAUUUGUCAUACUAAUAUUAAUAGUGCAUUAUAAUAAAUAACAACAAAGAAUAUAUAUACUAUAUGGAUAUAUAACUUAUAUAUUAAUAUAAUAAUAACAACAAAAACAAAUUAUUACAAAGAAAUAGAAAGGCAAGUGAGAGGGCGAUAUUAAAUAAUAAAACCUACAAUAAAUAAUACUAUUGUAAAUAAAACAAUAUACAACUUUAUCUGUGAAUAACCGUAGUUAUUAAAAUAGAUAUACAAUGGAUA